rnacentral:piRNA from 1 species
UGGACUACGAUGCACUGUGCCAAACAGA